GUGAGGAAUAUUCCGCAAUGGGGGAAACCCUGACGGAGCGACGCCGUGUGGGUGAUGAAGUCCUUCGGGAUGUAAAGCCCUGUCAGAGGGGACGAUAUUGACGGUACCCUCAGAGGAAGCCCCGGCUAACUACGUGCCAGCAGCCGCGGUAAUACGUAGGGGGCGAGCGUUAUUCGGAAUUAUUGGGCGUAAAGCGCACGCAGGCGGUAUUUUAAGUCGAGCGUAAAAGGUAUGGGCUCAACUCAUAUUUCGCGUUCGAAACUAAUUUGCUAGAGAGAGUCAGAGGGAAGGGGAACUUCCGGUGUAGCGGUGAAAUGCGUAGAUAUCGGAAGGAACACCAGUGGCGAAGGCGCCUUCCUGGGGCUCUUCUGACGCUGAGGUGCGAAAGCUAGGGGAGCAAACGGGAUUAGAUACCCCGGUAGUCC
rnacentral:rRNA from 1 species